CCUGACCUUACGAGUGGAUGAAGAUACCUCAGCUGUCUGACUUUGCCAAUUGCUUGCUUUCAGAAUUUUAAACAGUGGAAGGAAAAAGAAAUCCUGCUAAGAUCUGAACAUCUCAGUGGCUUAUUUUCCAGUGUCGUCAAUAGCUGUGAGUGUCAGGACUAAAUAUUCUCCCAAGGAGUGCCAUGAUAUUGAGGUCACUUUAUUAAAAACAGUUUUGUCUGCGAAAGGAUCAGGAGACUCCGACGUUUGCAGUCAGAGAUGACACUGAGCAUGCUUUUAUUGCGGCCCGCAGUCUUCGAGUGGGGCAUAUUGAUUGAUGAGUGACUGCCUGCCGAUAAAUUUUCUCCGCUCUGUUUCCUGGAUUGGACUUCAUUAAGCAAUUUGUCACUUACCUUCAGACUUACAUGUGGGAUUUUCCACAACAAUAGUUUUGGGAUCAUUGGAACUUGGAUUGAUUUCAUCAUUUAGCAGGGAGGAACAGGAUCCCAGUUAUUUUCUCAUCAUGGCUUUGAAUGUUGCCCCCGUCAGAGAUACAAAAUGGCUGACGUUAGAGGUCUGCAGACAGUUCCAGAGAGGAACCUGCUCCCGCUCUGAUGAGGAAUGCAAAUUCGCCCACCCCCCCAAAAGCUGCCAGGUUGAAAAUGGAAGAGUAAUUGCCUGCUUUGAUUCCCUAAAGGGCCGUUGUUCAAGGGAGAACUGCAAGUAUCUUCACCCUCCCACACACUUAAAAACUCAACUAGAAAUUAAUGGGAGGAACAAUUUGAUCCAGCAAAAAACUGCAGCAGCCAUGCUUGCCCAGCAGAUGCAAUUUAUGUUUCCAGGAACCCCACUCCAUCCCGUGCCCACUUUUCCUGUAGGUCCCGCAAUAGGGACAAAUACGGCGAUUAGCUUUGCUCCUUACUUAGCACCUGUAACCCCUGGAGUUGGGUUAGUCCCAACGGAAAUUCUACCCACCACACCUGUUAUUGUUCCCGGAAGUCCACCUGUCACUGUCCCGGGCUCAACUGCAACUCAGAAACUUCUCAGGACUGACAAACUGGAGGUCUGCAGGGAGUUCCAGCGAGGAAACUGUGCCCGGGGAGAGACCGACUGCCGCUUUGCACACCCCGCCGACAGCACCAUGGUCGACACAAACGACAACACCGUAACCGUUUGUAUGGAUUACAUAAAGGGGCGUUGCAUGAGGGAGAAAUGCAAAUAUUUUCACCCUCCUGCACACUUGCAGGCCAAAAUCAAAGCUGCGCAGCACCAAGCCAACCAGGCCGCGGUGGCCGCCCAGGCAGCCGCGGCCGCGGCCACAGUCAUGGUAAGUGGGGCGCGCGCGCCGCGCACCUUCCCCGAAGCCCGCGCGCCCGGAGCCGCGCCUUCCGCGCGGGCACGCGCACGCGCGCCUCGCCGCCGGGAGUGGGGCCGGCUGGCGCUCCCGCUGCUCCGCUGCCUCCGUCCUGUCGUGGUUCCCCCGCCCCGCCCGUUUCGUUUUCGUUUUGUUCCGUUCCUCCCUCCUUCCCUUCGCAGCACAAUAAGUAAAUCCCUCAGGCGGGCGCAGGGAAGCCAGGGGCGGGUGCGAGGGCCCCUCCCCAAGCCCAGAGCGCCUCUCGGAGCGCGGACGCGGGCGGGACCGGGCUGGAAGGACCAGGGAGGCGGCCUGGAGCCGGGGAGAGAGGAGAACCGGGCGGAGGAUGCACCCGGGCCGGGAGCCACUGCCCCCAUUUUUUUGCUCCCCACUUCUUGUUACUUAUUACAAAGGCCAUGCUGCAAACUCCCUCUCUCCCUGAAAGAAAAUUUAUGCAGAACAUAA
rnacentral:lncRNA from 1 species